AUUCCGCUUCACUAUCUUCGUAUAUCUGCCACACCCGAAGUCUUAUGCUAUAAAAAGGAAGAAGCGGAAGACGAGAGAGGAGAAAUACGAUAGAGAAGAAGAUCAAGAAGUAGAAGUAGAAGAGAAAGAAUCAGCUAAGCGAGCUUCUAUUGAAAAACCAAAAUGGGAGGCCCAACAUAAAGAAGUAGAAGAAGACGAAUUCGGAGCACAUGAACUUAUGGGAAUCCCAAUUGCCCACAGUGAUCAGAAGACGAACAAAAAAAGGGGUUGUUUUUUAUCUUGAGAAGGCUUCUUUGGACGUUGCUAAAGUUGGAAAGAUGGGUAUUAUGCAAAGACCGACCAGUUUCAAACAGUGGGCCAAAAGGGUCCAUUGAGUUCUAGGGAUUAGAGAACUAAGAUUUACGUGAGGGUUGCUCAGAAGAAGGUAGUCUUCUGUGGAGAUGCACCAAAAGACAGCAAGCACGAGCAAGGUAACCGCACCUUUUUGGUUUCAUUAGCCUUAUUUGCACUUGCUGUGAGAUAUUUUGGAUUAAUGCUACAAUGAAAGAUGGUGUGCUCAGAAUGGUCCUUUCGAAGGUUAAGAAGAUCUAGGAGGAUGCAGCAUGUUUUGCUGAGGAACCCAGCUAGCUUCAAAUGGAUCUGGCUUGGUGAUACAGCUACACUCUUUUUGUUGUGCAAGAACACAAAGGUGCCUCUGAAGGCAAGGUAAGCAAAAAUGGUGGUCUAUUUGCGAGGAAGAUGUCAAUGCUUUUUUCAAGGAUGGUUAGAUCCGCUUCAUAGGCACUGACGAGAAUGGUUGAACCUACCUUGGCAGCAUUGUUCCCUUCCUUCCCAUCAAACUCGAGUAUAGCAUGAAAUAUGGAGUUCAUUGAAUCUACUUUUUAGAAUUGAUGUCAUAUGGUAACCUUUUCUACUACUUAUUAGGUUCAAUCUGCUUUAUGAGAUUUACUUGCAUUAAAUUUGGCCUCGAACAUAGACUUUAAUUUUCUAUUGCUUUAGGCAGUUUGAGACACAUUUGAUGAUCAUGGCUAUAUCAAUGGUAUGUUGAUAAGUUUAGAUUGUAUGUAGUAGAGAUAGCUUAAAUGGUCUAUACAAGCUAC